rnacentral:rRNA from 1 species
UACAGAGGUCUCAAGCGUUUGUUCGGAUUCAUUGGGCGUUAAAGGGUGCGUAGGUGGCGCGCUAAGUCAGGUGUGAAAUCUCGGGGCUUUAACUCCGAAACUGCAUUUGAUACUGGCGUGCUUGAGGACUGGAGAGGAGACUGGAAUUCAUGGUGUAGCAGUGAAAUGCGUAGAGAUCAUGAGGAAGACCAGUGGCGAAGGCGGGGUCUCUGGACAGUUCCUGACACUGAGGCACGAAGGCCAGGGGGAGCAAACGGGG